ensembl:lncRNA
GCGCUGGAACCACUGAGCUAAAUCCCCGGCCCUGCAAAAUUUGUUUUUAAUGAAAAUAGAAAUUCAAACCAUUCCUGAACACAUAUCUCGGGCAACAUAAAAAGCUAUUUAUUGCAUCUUUACUAAAUUUAAUUCAUGAGAAGGCACAGAUGUGGAAACAACCCUGACAAUUCUUCCACCUCCCAUGAAUUGAAGUCUGGAAAUAGCCAACGGACUGUUCCUCUGAAAAUCUCCUUGACGGGCUGAGAGACAGACUGAAUGGUGCUCAAGUGAACCCAAUCAGCGCUGUGGUAGGGAACGCAACUCUGAGGUGGGGUUAAACACACAAGUUAGAACUGGUUUGUCAAAGAGAAGAACUCGUGAGCUCAAGGAACCAAGAUCCAUGGGAACAGUGAGGUAAGGAGCAUGGUGGAUUGGAACUGAAUGGAAAAGGAUGGGCACGUAACAAAUAUUGAACAGCUGGGAAAGAUGAGUGGGCUGGCACACACAAUCUAGGACGCAUUAAGAAGUGUGAACUUCGAAGUCCAGGUAUGAACUUGAAGGCAUGCCAAAGGAUUUCAUGAGUGAUACCAGGGAAAUACAUAUCAAAAAAAAUGACUCAUCUUCUUAAGAUGGUAGACUUCCCAUUUACACUGGUUAAGGUUCUCUAGAGGAAGAGACCCAUGAAGUUACAGAUAUGUGUACAGUUAGGAAAUGGGAUUUAUUAGACUGACUUUCAAGAUCAGAGGCCAGAGUGUUCAAAAUGUGUACCUGGAGAGAGAGAGAGAGAGAAGAUCCAGUAGCUGCUUAGCUCAAGAAGCUAGAAUUCCCAGAACAAGGUGGAAGGGUGUUCCAGGAUCUGGGUUAGUCCAAAGCUGAAGGCUUAGACCUCCCUGGAGAGUCGCUGGCGUAAGUCCACAUCGAAAAGCUGAAGAAACUACAGUAUGAUGUCCACAGUUACUAGCAGCAGCAAAAGAACACCCACUCAAGCAGAGGUGAGGUUUAAAGCCUGGCUGACUUACUCCUUCUUCCCCUUUUUGUUCCUUUUGACCUGCAAGCCUAUUGGAUGGUUCUGCUCCAAUCAGGGCAGGCCUUCCCCUUCAGUUUGCUGACCUACAUGCCAAUCAUCCCUGCAAACACCCCAGAGGCCCCCCCGUAAGAGUGCUUCACUACUCUUCUAGAUCCCUCCUCAAUCGGUCAAGUUGUCACUGAACAUUAACUAUCACACUAUCUUUCUCUGUCUCCACACUUUGCUUGCACGUUACAGUAGUUGCACUCCUAUCUCCCGACCAUCUUCUUUCACUUCUCCACUUUUCAUAAUUUCCCUUUCCACAUUUUUUAUUCUAUUCUUAGUUUUUAGGGACAUUCUUUCUGUAAUUCAUUAUACUUUUCUCUACAUUAUACAUAUUGUCUUUCUGUUUUCCAUUUUGUUCUCCAUCAAAAGGGUAAGUGAAACAGGAAGGGAUGCCGUG